GUGAGCCUGACAUCUGGCAGUUACGCUGCUGGGACUCUCCACUUGAGGGCAAUUCUUUGCUCAUUUUUAGUACAAGACAGUACAUCAAUUGAACAAACAAAAAACAAGAGCAGGUACAAAUAAGGAAACCAUGAAGAAGCAAUCACUAAUAUGUCAUGGCCAACGCGACAAAUGGGCCAGGAAACGUGACGGUCACUUGGAAAGGAUAUAACUGUGGAGUCAUUAAUUCCUGGAGUGAAACUGCGAAGAAUGAUUGAGUUGUAACAUGCUUCAAGGGAACUGGCGCUUGUUCUAACAACUAUCUAUCCAAAUGUAGGAGAGAGCAAGCUAAAAGAUUUUAUGUUUAUCUAUUGUGUUUUACAAGCAACUUUCAUCCUGCUAUGUUUAUCCAAGUUUAUGAAAUCUAAUGCCAGAAUCUACAUAGAUAGCGUUCAAAAUGCCCAUGAGGACACCAGAGAGCUCUGUAUAAUUGUAAGUUUUGUCUAAGACACAGAAAAGUAAUAUGCACGUAUGGCAGUUAGAAUUAAUCAACCAUUUUUCCCCAAACUCCUCCCUUUUCAUUUAUGUAUUAUUUCAAAUACAUAUCAAGGAGGGGUAAAAAUGAAGUGAUGUUGUAUUACUUUUUGUUCUGGUGAAAUUUUUAUAUAUAUAUCAUCUAUAUCACAUUUUUUACUUUGUAAUUUUAAACUGUCCAAACUAACUGCAUAGUA